GUACUUGCUUUGGCAGUACAUAUACUAAAAUUGGACAAUACAGAGAAGGUUAGUGUGGCCCCUCCACUAGGAUCAAACCAAACAAAGUGAACAGUGUGUGUCCACCUGUUU